GGAACAUCGACGACAGUGGAUUGAUUUUGCUGUUACUUCUCUUCACAGGGAUGGCUGCGAGGGAUCAUACAAUCACUAUCAGAUGGAGCCUAUUUGUGGGCGCCCAUUAGGUUUGUGUGUCGAUGAGUCAAGCGGUGAUCUGUACAUUGCUGAUGCUUACAUGGGGCUAUUAAUGGUGGGCCCUGAAGGUGGGUUGGCCACAACAAUUGCG
rnacentral:misc_RNA from 1 species